CUCACGCCCCAGUCUGCCGGCACGCCCAGCCAAGUUCCGCUCACGCCCCAGUCUGCCGGCACGCCCAGCCAAGUUCCGCUCACGCCCCAGUCUGCCGGCACGCCCAGCCAAGUUCCGCUCACGCCCAAGCUUCGCCUGGUGACCUCAGAGCCUCCCUGUCCAGUUGAGGUCGUCGCUCAGCCCCCCGUCCAGCUGAGGUCGUCGCUCAGCCUUCCUGCUCCAUGGCAAACAUCGUUCCCACCUUCUGCUUUGAGGAGACCCACGCUCCUCUCCCUGGCCGCACGGAGACCCACGCUCCUCUCCCUGGCCUUACAGGGGACUUCACUCUGCCUUCCAGUUCAGCUGGGGACGUCGCUCCGCUUUCAUGCUUCAACGAGGACGUCACCCUGCUUCCCUGGUCCGCCGAGUACAGUGCUCUGUUUCCCUGCUCCGCCGAGGACGUCGCUCUGCCUUCAUGCUCCGACGAGGACGUCGCCCCCGCUUCCCUGCUCCGCCGAGUACAGUGCUCUGUUUCCCUGCUCCGCCGAGGACGUCGCUCUGCCUUCAUGCUCCGACGAGGACGUUGCUCUGCCCUCAUGCUCCGCCGAGGUCGUCUCUCAGCCUGUCUGCCCAGCCGAGGUCGUCUCUCAGCCUGUCUGCCCAGCCGAGGUCGUCGCUCUGCCUGUCUGCCCAGCCGAGGACGUCGCUCAGCCUGUCUGCCCAGCCGAGGACGUCGCUCAGCCUGUCUGCCCAGCCGAGGACGUCGCUCAGCCUGUCUGCCCAGCCGAGGACGUCGCUCAGCCUCCCUGCCCAGCCGAGGACGUCGCUCAGCCUCCCUGCCCAGCCGAGGACGUCGCUCAGCCUCCCUGCCCAGCCGAGGACGUCGCUCCGCUUCCCUGCGCAGCCGAGGACGUCGCUCCGCUUCCCUGCGCCGCCAAGAACACCGUGCAGUUUUCUGGCUCUGCUUGGGACAUUCAGCCCAGGGGGCCGGGGCUGCCAAUUAAAUGGGAUGACUCAUGGCACUCCUGGAGGGGUGCCUUUGGGGGGGGUUCUGUCAUGAUUCCCCCUUGAAGCAGCGUGCUCUAAGUGGGAAUGCGCGAGCACCUGCUUUUCCGUUGUUGACCGUAAUGACAUCUGGACACGUGUGUUUUGGACUGGAGAGGAGAGUAAAAUUAUCAGUGCAAUGUAGAGGCCUCAGGACCCAACAAAAAAAAGUCAGAAGAGUGGGCAUUUUUUGUUGUCAUGCAAGGAGGAGCAGGCAGUAAGAUAUAAAAUGUUUGGGACAAAGAAAGGCCAUGCUCAUUAAAGCCUAUUGGAUGCAUUGGGUUGCUUGCAUGCAGAUCACAUUCAUUCAUUCAUUCAUCUGCAGUAAACGCUUUAUGGCCAUACUCACUGGAGUUUAUAUUACCAAUUUGCUUAUAUUUUAGGAAAUAGAGCCAAGUAAGUUUUCCCGGUCCCUGCUUUUAAUCAGCAGAGACUGGGUAUCUGAUCAGCAUUGAGGACAAGAUGGAUGGAACCAAAUACAGGGCACAAUAGCUAGAAAACCUUAGACCUUUUUUAUUCUGAAAGAGAUUUCAAAGUUGGGCUUAGGUUUAUCUUAACAGGACAUUUAUCCUAUUGUAACCCAGCCAAGGUUAUACAAUUAUAGAAUUAUUCUGGAAAUUAUUUAAUUUGACAAGUAGGGCAAUUAUUAUGAUUACUUUAUUUUCCUUAUUGUAUUUUGGUUUAUUUCUAUUUUUUCGUUAUUAUGGUCUUGAUGCUGUUGAUUGAGAUUUGAGCCCAUAGGAAGGGAACAGGGAGCGGAAGUCUCCGUGUAAUAUUUCUUAUUUCCCUCAUAUAAAUGCAAAUCAAUUUAUAACAUUUUUGACAUGCGUUUUUCUGGAUUUUUUUGUUGUUAUUCUGUCUCUCACUGUUCA
ensembl:lncRNA